CCUACGGGCGGCAGCAGUGGGGAAUAUUGCACAAUGGGCGCAAGCCUGAUGCAGCCAUGCCGCGUGUGUGAAGAAGGCCUUCGGGUUGUAAAGCACUUUCAGCGGGGAGGAAGGCGGUGAGGUUAAUAACCUCAUCGAUUGACGUUACCCGCAGAAGAAGCACCGGCUAACUCCGUGCCAGCAGCCGCGGUAAUACGGAGGGUGCAAGCGUUAAUCGGAAUUACUGGGCGUAAAGCGCACGCAGGCGGUCUGUCAAGUCGGAUGUGAAAUCCCCGGGCUCAACCUGGGAACUGCAUUCGAAACUGGCAGGCUAGAGUCUUGUAGAGGGGGGUAGAAUUCCAGGUGUAGCGGUGAAAUGCGUAGAGAUCUGGAGGAAUACCGGUGGCGAAGGCGGCCCCCUGGACAAAGACUGACGCUCAGGUUCGAAAGCGUGGGGAGCAAACAGGAUUAGAUACCCCUGUAGUC
rnacentral:rRNA from 1 species